rnacentral:rRNA from 1 species
ACGAGGACGACGCUGGCGGCGUGCCUAACACAUGCAAGUCGAGCGGAGUUAACAAGAGGAAGUUUCGGAUGGAAUUUGUAAUUAGCGGCGGACGGGUGAGUAACGCGUGAGCGACCAACCUUGCACAGGGGGAUAACGGACCGAAAGGUUCACUAAUACCGCAUGAGACCACGGUGUUGCAUGACACAGAGGUCAAAGGAGCAAUCCGGUGCAAGACGGGCUCGCGUCCGAUUAGGUAGUUGGUGGGGUAAUGGCCCACCAAGCCUAUGGAUCGGUAGCCGACCUGAGAGGGUGAUCGGCCACAUUGGAACUGAGAUACGGUCCAAACUCCUACGGGAGGCAGCAGUGGGGAAUAUUGGGCCAAUGGGGGAAACCCUGACCCAGCAACACCGCGUGAAGGAAGAAGGUUUUCGGAUUGUAAACUUCUGUCCUUGGUGAAGAGAAGAAGACGGUAGCCAAGGAGGAAGCCCCGGCUAACUACGUGCCAGCCGCCGC